GAUGAACGCUGGCGGCGUGCCUAAUACAUGCAAGUCGAGCGAACAGACGAGGAGCUUGCUCCUCUGACGUUAGCGGCGGACGGGUGAGUAACACGUGGAUAACCUACCUAUAAGACUGGGAUAACUUCGGGAAACCGGAGCUAAUACCGGAUAAUAUAUUGAACCGCAUGGUUCAAUAGUGAAAGACGGUUUUGCUGUCACUUAUAGAUGGAUCCGCGCCGCAUUAGCUAGUUGGUAAGGUAACGGCUUACCAAGGCAACGAUGCGUAGCCGACCUGAGAGGGUGAUCGGCCACACGGGAACUGAGACACGGUCCAGACCCCUACGGGAGGCAGCAGUAGGGAAUCUUCCGCAAUGGGCGAAAGCCUGACGGAGCAACGCCGCGUGAGUGAUGAAGGUCUUCGGAUCGUAAAACUCUGUUAUUAGGGAAGAACAAAUGUGUAAGUAACUAUGCACGUCUUGACGGUACCUAAUCAGAAAGCCACGGCUAACUACGU
rnacentral:rRNA from 1 species